rnacentral:rRNA from 1 species
GACGGACCACACAAACGUUAUUCGGAAUCACUGGGCUUAAAGGGUGCGUAGGCGGUGCAGAAAGUUGGGUGUGAAAUACCUCGGCUCAACCGAGGAACAGCGCCCAAAACUACUGUGCUUGAGGGAGAUAGGGGUGAGCGGAACUUAGGGUGGAGCGGUGAAAUGCGUUGAUAUCCUAAGGAACACCGGUGGCGAAAGCGGCUCACUGGAUCUCUUCUGACGCUGAGGCACGAAAGCUAGGGGAGCGAACGGG